GACGAACGCUGGCGGCGUGCCUAAUACAUGCAAGUCGAACGAACUCUGGUAUUGAUUGGUGCUUGCAUCAUGAUUUACAUUUGAGUGAGUGGCGAACUGGUGAGUAACACGUGGGAAACCUGCCCAGAAGCGGGGGAUAACACCUGGAAACAGAUGCUAAUACCGCAUAACAACUUGGACCGCAUGGUCCGAGCUUGAAAGAUGGCUUCGGCUAUCACUUUUGGAUGGUCCCGCGGCGUAUUAGCUAGAUGGUGGGGUAACGGCUCACCAUGGCAAUGAUACGUAGCCGACCUGAGAGGGUAAUCGGCCACAUUGGGACUGAGACACGGCCCAAACUCCUACGGGAGGCAGCAGUAGGGAAUCUUCCACAAUGGACGAAAGUCUGAUGGAGCAACGCCGCGUGAGUGAAGAAGGGUUUCGGCUCGUAAAACUCUGUUGUUAAAGAAGAACAUAUCUGAGAGUAACUGUUCAGGUAUUGACGGUAUUUAACCAGAAAGCCACGGCUAACUACGUGCCAGCAGCCGCGGUAAUACGUAGGUGACAAGCGUUGUCCGGAUUUAUUGGGCGUAAAGCGAGCGCAGGCGGUUUUUUAAGUCUGAUGUGAAAGCCUUCGGCUCAACCGAAGAAGUGCAUCGGAAACUGGGAAACUUGAGUGCAGAAGAGGACAGUGGAACUCCAUGUGUAGCGGUGAAAUGCGUAGAUAUAUGGAAGAGCACCAGUGGCGAAGGCGGCUGUCUGGUCUGUAACUGACGCUGAGGCUCGAAAGUAUGGGUAGCAAACAGGAUUAGAUACCCUGGUAGUCCAUACCGUAAACGAUGAAUGCUAAGUGUUGGAGGGUUUCCGCCCUUCAGUGCUGCAGCUAACGCAUUAAGCAUUCCGCCUGGGGAGUACGGCCGCAAGGCUGAAACUCAAAGGAAUUGACGGGGGCCCGCACAAGCGGUGGAGCAUGUGGUUUAAUUCGAAGCUACGCGAAGAACCUUACCAGGUCUUGACAUACUAUGCAAAUCUAAGAGAUUAGACGUUCCCUUCGGGGACAUGGAUACAGGUGGUGCAUGGUUGUCGUCAGCUCGUGUCGUGAGAUGUUGGGUUAAGUCCCGCAACGAGCGCAACCCUUAUUAUCAGUUGCCAGCAUUAAGUUGGGCACUCUGGUGAGACUGCCGGUGACAAACCGGAGGAAGGUGGGGAUGACGUCAAAUCAUCAUGCCCCUUAUGACCUGGGCUACACACGUGCUACAAUGGAUGGUACAACGAGUUGCGAACUCGCGAGAGUAAGCUAAUCUCUUAAAGCCAUUCUCAGUUCGGAUUGUAGGCUGCAACUCGCCUACAUGAAGUCGGAAUCGCUAGUAAUCGCGGAUCAGCAUGCCGCGGUGAAUACGUUCCCGGGCCUUGUACACACCGCCCGUCACACCAUGAGAGUUUGUAACACCCAAAGUCGGUGGGGUAACCUUUUAGGAACCAGCCGUCUAAGGUGGGACAGAUGAUUAGGGUG
rnacentral:rRNA from 1 species